rnacentral:lncRNA from 1 species
CUUUAUUUAAAUUCAUUACAAGCCUGAAAAUAAAAAACAAUGUUAUCACUCAUUCAUAGGGUUGAAAGAGUCUUGUUUGAAGUUGUGUGGGGUUGGAUAACCAUAGGUGUGAUUUUCAUUCAAAAGUUGGCAGAAAAAGAAAAAGAAAUAUGUAGAAAAAGAAGAAAAAAUAGAAAAAAAAAAGAAAAGAAAUAGAAAAGAAAUAGACAAGAAAUGGAAAAACCAAAGAAGGAUGUCAUUACUUCUGAAAAAGAAAAAGAAAAGAUAAAAGAGAAGAAAAAUUGUGGAAAAGUUGUUGUUUGGAAGUGGAUGAAUGUAGUUCAACUCCUACAAGUUCUUUCAUGUCUCUUUCCUCCCUUUGAAUCUUAGCCUAGUACCUCUUAGGAUUUAU